rnacentral:rRNA from 1 species
GAUGAACGCUGACAGAAUGCUUAACACAUGCAAGUCUUUGGUGAAGCUGUGCUUGCACAGCCUAGCCAAGGCGGACGGGUGAGUAACGCGUAAGGAACUUGCCCUGCAGUCAGGGAUAACAGACGGAAACGACUGAUAAGACCUGGUAAAGUCAGGCGGACUCAUGUCCAGCCUGAUGAAAAGAGAUGCUGCAGGAGAGCCUUGCGUCCUAUUAGCUUGUUGGUGGGGUAACGGCCCACCAAGGCAAUGAUAGGUAGCCGGCCUGAGAGGGUGGACGGCCACAAGGGGACUGAGAUACGGCCCUUACUCCUACGGGAGGCAGCAGUGGGGAAUAUUGGACAAUGGGGGCAACCCUGAUCCAGCAAUUCUGUGUGCACGAUGAAGGUUUUCGGAUUGUAAAGUGCUUUCAGCAGGGAAGAAAAAAAUGACGGUACCUGCAGAAGAAGCGACGGCUAAAUACG